rnacentral:misc_RNA from 1 species
AAGUCGUAACAAGGUUUCCGUAGGUGAACCUGCGGAAGGAUCAUUGCCACACACGAUCCAAGAUCGACACUUUAUUGUGAACUGUUAAAUGUUUGUGUUGAAAUAAGAGGGGGACUUUUGUUCUUCUUUUGUUGAUACACCUUUAAAACAACCCACCUUAUAAAAAAAUGAAUUAUUCAUAUGGAACAUAAAUGUAAUCUAAAGUCUGUCUUUAGUAUUACGCUAGAUUGAAAAAUAGUUAAACAACUUUUAACAACGGAUAUCUAGGUUCUU